rnacentral:ncRNA from 1 species
CGGAAAUCAAAUGGGUGCCUGUUCGUGAGAACGAACGAAAUGCGGGCGACCGCAGGGCUGAGAUGAUACCAUUAGGACUUGAACUGGGUAAUGCCAGCGGAAGGAUAAACAUGAUGCAGGAU